rnacentral:rRNA from 2 species
GUAGGUGAAGUGACUUGCUCACGGAGCUGAAACCAGUCGAAGAUACCAGCUGGCUGCAACUGUUUAUUAAAAACACAGCACUGUGCAAACACGAAAGUGGACGUAUACGGUGUGACGCCUGCCCGGUGCCGGAAGGUUAAUUGAUGGGGUUAUCCGCAAGGAGAAGCUCUUGAUCGAAGCCCCGGUAAACGGCGGCCGUAACUAUAACGGUCCUAAGGUAGCGAAAUUCCUUGUCGGGUAAGUUCCGACCUGCACGAAUGGCGUAAUGAUGGCCAGGCUGUCUCCACCCGAGACUCAGUGAAAUUGAACUCGCUGUGAAGAUGCAGUGUACCCGCGGCAAGACGGAAAGACCCCGUGAACCUUUACUAUAGCUUGACACUGAACAUUGAGCCUUGAUGUGUAGGAUAGGUGGGAGGCUUUGAAGCGUGGACGCCAGUCUGCGUGGAGCCAACCUUGAAAUACCACCCUUUAAUGUUUGAUGUUCUAACGUAGACCCGUAAUCCGGGUUGCGGACAGUGUCUGGUGGGUAGUUUGACUGGGGCGGUCUCCUCCUAAAGCGUAACGGAGGAGCACGAAGGUUAGCUAAUCCUGGUCGGACAUCAGGAGGUUAGUGCAAUGGCAUAAGCUAGCUUGACUGCGAGCGUGACGGCGCGAGCAGGUGCGAAAGCAGGUCAUAGUGAUCCGGUGGUUCUGAAUGGAAGGGCCAUCGCUCAACGGAUAAAAGGUACUCCGGGGAUAACAGGCUGAUACCGCCCAAGAGUUCAUAUCGACGGCGGUGUUUGGCACCUCGAUGUCGGCUCAUCACAUCCUGGGGCUGAAGUAGGUCCCAAGGGUAUGGCUGUUCGCCAUUUAAAGUGGUACGCGAGCUGGGUUUAGAACGUCGUGAGACAGUUCGGUCCCUAUCUGCCGUGGGCGCUGGAGAAUUGAGGGGGGCUGCUCCUAGUACGAGAGGACCGGAGUGGACGCAUCACUGGUGUUCGGGUUGUCAUGCCAAUGGCAUUGCCCGGUAGCUAAAUGCGGAAAAGAUAAGUGCUGAAAGCAUCUAAGCACGAAACUUGCCCCGAGAUGAGUUCUCCCUUG